CUCAGCAGCCUUCAUUUCUUCCCAAACCCGAUCUGAACCUAGAGACUUAGAGAGGCCGCCUCCUUCGGUCCUUCUUCCCAAACCCAAUCUGAACCGAGAGAGGCCGCCAUAUCCGCCAACGCCGAGACUGCUCUCUCCCUCACUUCACCUGCACCGCGAGACGCAGAGACUGCUCUCUCUCUCUUCACAUCACGCUGCGGUUCGCUGGGUUUGUGUUUGGUGCCAAGGGGACUGUGAUUCAGUCUGUGGAGUAUUUCUGUUGUGAUCCCAAUCUAAUUUUGCAAGUAUCAAAUUGGGUUUUAAUCGGUUAGGUAUCCAAUUGAGCUCCUCUUUCCGUUAAGAUUUAAGAAAGAAAGAGACUGCUCUGGGCCAUCGACCACUUAAGCUGGUGUUUGUGCGGCAAUUGGGCAGCUGUCCAAGCCUUUAACUAAUGUAAUUCUGUAUGGGAAAGAGUUUGAAACCGCUGGCGGCUUCCCUUCCACUCAUUCCUCUGUAAGCUAGAAGAAUCAUUUCGACGUUGGGUUUAAACGGCGACUGGCUGCUGUGGAAGGAAGCUGUAUUUUAAUUAGGACUUUCUAUGUCAUUGCAUAUUUGUACUUGAAUUUGGACUUCGUAUUUAAAUUUGGACACUUUGUAUUUCAAUUGUAGCUUUAAUUGUUCUUGAUGAGUACUUGAAUUUGGAUACUAUGUAUUCUGGAUAUUUGAAUUUGCAGCUUGAACUUUGGAUCUUGA